AUUGAACGCUGGCGGCAGGCCUAACACAUGCAAGUCGAACGAGUGGCGGACGGGUGAGUAAUGUCUGGGAAACUGCCUGAUGGAGGGGGAUAACUACUGGAAACGGUAGCUAAUACCGCAUACCAUCGGAUGUGCCCAGAUGGGAUUAGCUAGUGGGUGGGGUAAAGGCUCACCAAGGCGACGAUCCCUAGCUGGUCUGAGAGGAUGAUCAGCAACACUGGAACUGAGACACGGCCCAGACGCCUACGGGAGGCAGCAGUGGGGAAUAUUGCACAAUGGGCGCAAGCCUGAUGCAGCCAUGCCGCGUGUAUGAAGAAGGCCUUCGGGUUGUAAAGCACUUUCAGCGGGGAGGCGUUACCCGCCGAAGAAGCCCCGGCUAACUCCGUGCCAGCCGCCGCGGUAAUUC
rnacentral:rRNA from 1 species